GACGAACGCUGGCGGUGUGCUUAACACAUGCAAGUCGAACGGUAAGGCCCUUUCGGGGGUACACGAGUGGCGAACGGGUGAGUAACACGUGAGUAACCUGCCCUCAUCUCUGGGAUAACAGUCGGAAACGGUUGCUAAUACUGGAUAUGAGCUUGCAAGGCAUCUUGGGGGGUGGAAAGAUUUUUUUUGGUUGGGGAUGGACUCGCGGCCUAUCAGCUUGUUGGUGAGGUAGUGGCUCACCAAGGCUUCGACGGGUAGCCGGCCUGAGAGGGCGACCGGCCACAUUGGGGCUGUGAUACGGCCCAAACUCCUACGGGGGGCAGCAGUGGGGAAUACUGCACAAUGGACGGAAGUCUGAUGCAGCAACGCCGCGUGCGGGAUGACGGCCUUCUGGUUGUAUACCGCUUUCAAUUGUGACGAAGCGUUUUUGUGACGGUAGCAGUAGAAGAAGCACCGGCUAACUACGUG
rnacentral:rRNA from 1 species